CAAAGCAAAGUUUAAUAUCUGAGAAAUAAAAAAAGUUUAUAAACCAGAAUAUUGAAGGCAAUCAAUCAAUAAUUCAUGAUGGGGGAAAAGGUUUGGAUUUUGAAAAAAUAUGAUGCCUGAUGCAACAUACAUAUGUGCUGGUUAGUAUGACCAACAAUUAGAUCUUGCUUGAGAAAGGAUGUGAUUAUGACAACUCUAUCAGCUCUAAAUUGUUGAAAUACUUCAAUUUUUUUUUAAAGAGUGUCUUCUUCUUUUAAACAUUUUUUCGCUCUGAAACAAGAACAAAAAAGUAUUUUCCCAUGUAAAGUAAAAUAAAACAGAAACCAACCACAUAGAUAAUCUCAGUGGACAAAAUACUUAUAGGAAGCAAUAAAUAUUCCUCCUUUAGAAAAUUAUUUCAAUUGAGAGAGAAUUUACAAAGAAAAGAGGACAUCAAAUUAAGAAAAACUGGAUUGCAGCCUGUAGACAACUAAAAGAUUGCUAAUUAUGUGCCUGAGCAACGAAAAAAGAAAGUUUAGGACUAACAUGUGUUUGAUAGAAAGCCACUAAUUUAUGCAACGAAAUUUGAGACCAAAGUCAUAAAGAGGCCUUGUUUGGCUAUGAGAUAGCUGUUAGCAGUUCAUUGAUUCAGACCAGAUAAUCAUAUUACUUUUUAAAAAGGAAAAAUUAGAAAUGAUACUCUCAACUUUCAUUAAUUUUGCUUGAAUAAUCCCAACUUUGGAUAAUUCUAGAAUAUUCCGAAUUUUAGGGGUUCCUAUUUUUCUUCAAUCCCAAAAACUGGUGACCGGUUGGAUAGGUUACUUCUAUUUAUUUUUUUAAAUAAGUGACACGUGCUACAUGUUAAUUGGUUAAGAAAAUUAAAAACAAACAAACAAAAAAAACAACGGUCCCAGCAAAACCCUUGACGGAGUUGACGCAAAUAAUCUGCCAAUGUUACCCCUCCUCUCACCGGCCAAUUGCCCCAGCCACGCACGAAACCCCUUUUCAUUUUCUCUAUCCUCUCAAUUGCAGCCGCUAAAUCCGGCCACUUGUGCGUCGCCGCUCGUGAAACUCCCUUGAAACCCCUCCCCUACUCCCAAAAACACCUAACCCAUCCCUGAAAACUUCGUUUUCGUUGGUGGGUUUUUGGGGUUUUAAAUGGUGGAUGCGAUUUUGGGGUUUCGUGGAUACGAAUUUGGGGUUAGGGUGGUUGCAUGGGGUUCCGGUGAUUUCACUGGUUGCGUGGGGUUUCGAGGAGGGGGGGAAACGGCGACUCAAGGAUCUUUUGUUCUUAUUACAGAGGCUUCUUUUAAAAUGGAUCCGAAGUAUCCAUGUCCAUGUGGAGCAAGUGAUCUUAAUAUCAAAACCACAAAAAAACCGGGGGUGAACCACAAUAGGAAGUUUCUAACAUGUCCUUCUGGUUGUGGUUUCUAUUCUUUUCUAGAUGAACUAAGAUUGUGCAAGUGUCGUAAGGGAUUCUGCCGCAACACCUUCAGGAAAAAUGUGAAACAUUGGUGCUGUUCGUUUAAGAACUAGUGCCCCUACUCCCUGAGCCUGAGCCUCAGCCAGAUGAAUGAUGGUAAACAAUUUAUGAACCUCAGAAGUAUGGUAAACAAUUUAUGAACCUCAGAAGUAUUUAUGAGCCUCAGCCAGAUGAACCUCAGAAGUAUUUUUCAGAAGUAGUACCCCUACUCCAGAUCCACUAAAGAAAAGCGCAGGGAAGCACUUUUGAGGUCUUUAAAAGCAACAAGAGCAGUAAACAAUGCCUUGAUUGACAUUAUUGAAGAUCUUGCUAACCUUCCGCUGAAUGAUGGUAAACAAUUUAUGAACUAAUGGUUGGAACAAUUUAUGAAUAUUGAUUUAAUUUUGUGGUUGCUGGGGUUUUGAUUAAAUUUAUUUAUCUAAUUUCAAUAUUUCCUGUUUUUUUGGCUUUAUCUGUUUUUUUUUUUUUUUUUUUUUUGGCUCCCAGAUUUCUAAUGCUCAUUGAGUUCAGUAGGCUGGCAUGGUGGAGGUAAGUACUACUCUCUUAGAUUAGGAGUACCAUGAUAGUGAAACUAGAUAAAAGAUACACGUAGAUUUAAAUCAUCCUUCAUAAUCUAAAGAACAGUCAUUGCUAAAAUUUAUCUAACAAAUGAUUUCUUAAUCGUCUUAAUUUUCGUUUUAAUUCAAGUGUUAAAUUAUUGCAAAGUUUUCUGAGUUCCUUUAAUGCUUUAGUACCAUCUCUUUCAUGCUUAGAUUUAUUGAAUAUUGAACCCUAAUUGUUGUAUUUGAAUAAUUUUCUUGUUUUUCUUUCUUUCUUUGAAGAUCAUAGUGGUGGUGGUUGCCGGUGAUGAGGGUUGCUGAUUAUGGAUAGGGAAUGAUUUUAAUUUAUGGAUUUGUUUCUGUAUUUGUAGUCAUAGGAUUUGAUUAUGGAUAUGAAUUGGAAUCUAAUGUCUAGGAUUAAAUGUCAUGAAUUUAAUGGGCUUGGCUAAUUGAGCUUCAUUUUGGAUCGGAUUCCAAUUACUCCGUACUCGUAUAUCCAACAAAACCUAUCUCAAAUCCAACAAGACCAAACCAAUCAAGAAUAUAUGUGCAAAUACCAAACUUCAAUUAAAGAAUUGAAUGCAUUCAACCAACGAAUCAAUUCUGAAAGGGAAAUUAAUGCUUCAGUCUACAACACACUUUUCUUUUUUUUUGGUGUGACAAGUCACUACUCCUCUACUCCUCGUUUUACUCUACUCCUCUUAUCCCUUGCACAUCUAUAAUCUACUCGUAUAUCUAUAAUGUAGACAAAAAAAAAAAUUCUAUAUCUAUAAUCAAUCAAUGAAUCAAUAUACUCUACUAAAGUGCUACAGGAUGAAUAUGGACAAACAUCACAUAAGUUGGUCAAGGAAUAUUUGACUCCUUAUUUUCUUAACAAAUACACAUACUCCUAAUACAUUAUAUAAGUUGGGCCAUAACUUUCCUUAUAUCACAAAAUACUACUCCCUCCGUUCCCCAAUUUUUGCACCAAAACACUGUGUGGCAGUGUUCAUUUGACCACUUUGACUCUCUCUAGUGUUUUACAUAAAAGGAAAAAUAUAAUCAUAUGAGAUCUCGUUUGAUUCGUCUCAAAGUAAACUUUUUUUAUAUAUAAUUUUUAUAAUAUAUUAUUACACAUAUUUAAAGAUUUUUUUAUUUAAAGUUGUAUCUCGGGUGAUGUGAAAAAGUAAUUGGUGCAAAUAAUAGGGGGACGGAGGGAGUAUAAAGCAAUGAAGGAAAGUUAUAUCAAUCAUAAGAAAAAGUAAUUUGGAAAUUUCUUGGUACUCCGCAUGUUUUUAUAAAUAUAAUAAAAACUCUGUAACAACAAAUCAACUUCUGCAAUUGAUUUAGCAUGUAUUUUAAGAAAACAACUUAAGGGUGUAAAAAAUAAUUUAAUUAGAAUGGUUUAAUAUAAAUAAGAAUGUAAUUAUAAUUUUCUAAUUUUAAAAAAGUCUUUAUUAAUUUUUUUAUUCGAUUAAUCAAACAACCCUUCAACUUUGCACCAAGGGGAUAGUAGUAAUAUUAUUGAUAGGCUUGGAAAUCAACAGAGGAUUUCUUGAAUUUGUUCCUUGACUUAUGGAUUAAAUCCAAAGAGGUUGCAAUUUUUGUGUUACGGUGGCAACUGGCAAGUGGAAGACAUACACCCCGUAAGGGCGAAUGAGGGAUCACGUCGGACAACGGUCAAAAAGACUUGUUUUUUUUACCUUCGUUCACUCCUAAUUUGUCAAAAGACAACUUAAAAAAAUAAUUCACAACUAUCAAAUUGUAAAACCAAAAUUUAAAAGUGAAAUGUUUUGUAGCAACUUAAAGCAAAUUAGGCUCGAGUGACCUAUGCGUCCUUAAAAUAACCUGUCCUAGUUGAUCGCGAAAAAAACAGGAAAUAUUGAAAUUAUUGAAAUUAGAGCAUACUUGUCCUUAAAAAAAAAAAACAUUAGUUCUGCAUAUAUGUCUGCGUAAAUUCAUAUGAAAAGAAGCCCAUGGCAGCAACAUGAAGGAAAAAGGAAAGUGGCAAAGAUGAAGAACAAGAGGGGCAUAUCCAAAACUCUGAGAGAGAGAGAGAGAGAGAGAGAGAGAGAAAGAGAGAGAGAGAGGGGGAGAGAGAGAGAGAGGGAGAUGGGGUUAGCUACCAUGAUAUGGUGUGUUUUGCAAACAUACGUUGUUAGGUGUUGGCUAGUUCAGC